rnacentral:misc_RNA from 1 species
UUUAUUUAUUUAUUUAUUUUUGCUUCUGUUUGAUCGUUGUCAUGAAUAUUCAGCUUCCGGACUUUUUGUUUUUCUUGUUUAAGGUAAUGGUUUUGUUAGACUGUAUGAAUUAUAGGAGCCAUAGAUAGUAUGAUUGUUUAUCAGUUUUAAUCAUUCAAGCAUCAAAGUUCAAUUUUCUUGCAGGCGUAAUUUUUUAUAUUUUAAAAAGAGAAAAUUGAUGCAUUGGGUCUAAUUGUGUUGGAUUUGAAGGGAGAAAAAACUAAGAACGUAUUUAUGCUUGAACGAGGAGA